rnacentral:tRNA from 1 species
UCGUCAGUAGCACAGCGGCCUAGUGCGCGGUGAUUAUCCGAGACGGUGGUUCGAAUCCACCCUGACGAA